rnacentral:rRNA from 1 species
AUGGUGGUGCGUAAGUGUUGCGUCUUAGUUUGUGAGCUACAGACAUUAUCAAGCAGCAAAGUCAUCGCACAUAUGCCGACGACGAAGAUGCAUAUUUAUUGGCUGAGGGAGCAACAACACAAUUCUGAUGAUUCUGCCAAUGUUGCUUGUUUGUUCUAUUGUCACCAUUUGUUUGAUGCUCUUUUGGCAACCAGUAGCAUAAUUGUACUUAUGUCUAAAUUGCUCUCUUUUCAGAUUUACUUGCAAGGACCAGAGGGUAUGCUGAUGCUGCGCAGGCACUUGAGCUAUUUACAGAAGGAGCGGACCCGACCUUCUUCAUGUCUUGUGGCUGUGUCUUCCUUUGAUUCAUUUGUGCAACAAAGAGGGGACCUGGCCUUCUUCAUGUCUCUUGCAAAAACCUGGUGGGCGUCGUGCUCUUCAACCACUUAG